GACGAACGCUGGCGGCGUGCUUAACACAUGCAAGUCGAACGGUGAAGCGCCUUCCUUUUUGGUGGGUGUGGAUGAGUGGCGAACGGGUGAGUAACACGUGAGUAACCUGCCCCCUUCUUCUGGAUAACCGCAUGAAAGUGUGGCUAAUACGGGAUAUUCUGGGUCUGUCGCAUGAUGGGUCUGGGAAAGAUAUUGUUUCGGUGGGGGAUGAGCUCGCGGCCUAUCAGCUUGUUGGUGGGGUGAUGGCCUACCAAGGCGGUGACGGGUAGCCGGCCUGAGAGGGUGGACGGUCACACUGGGACUGAGACACGGCCCAGACUCCUACGGGAGGCAGCAGUGGGGAAUAUUGCACAAUGGGCGCAAGCCUGAUGCAGCGACGCCGCGUGAGGGAUGGAGGCCUUCGGGUUGUGAACCUCUUUCGCCAGUGAAGCAGGCCUGCCUCGUUUGUGGGUGGGUUGACGGUAGCUGGAUAAGAAGCGCCGGCUAACUACGUG
rnacentral:rRNA from 1 species